CCUGGUUGAUCCUGCCAGUAAUCCUAUGCUUGUCUCAAAGAUUAAGCCAUGCAUGUCUAAGUACAUGCCGAAAUAAGGCGAAACCGCGAAUGGCUCAUUAAAUCAGUUAUGGUUCCUUAGAUCGUUUCUUCCUACUUGGAUAACUGCAAUUCUUUAAGAACGCUAAAUUACAUGCAGUGGCCUGGAGCCUUUUUGGGGUAACCGGGUGUUUUAUUAACCCAAAGUCGAUCGGGUUUCGGCCCGUAUUGUGUGGUGACUCUGGAUAACUUUGUGCUGAUCGCAUGGCCACGAGCCGGCGACGUUUCUUUCAAGUGUCUGCCUUAUCAACUUUCGAUGGUAGGUUACUUGCUUACCAUGGUUGUUACGGGUAACGGAGAAUCAGGGUUCGAUUCCGGAGAGGGAGCCUGAGAAACGGCUACCACAUCCAAGGAAGGCAGCAGGCGCGCAAAUUACCCACUCCCGGCACGGGGAGGUAGUGACGAAAAAUAACAAUACGGGACUCUUUUGAGGCCCCGUAAUUGAAAUGAGUACACUCUAAAUCCUUUAACGAGGAUCAAUUGGAGGGCAAGUCUGGUGCCAGCAGCCGCGGUAAUUCCAGCUCCAAUAGCGUAUACUAAAGCUGCUGCGGUUAAAAAGCUCGUAGUUGGAUCUCAGUUCCAGACGAGUAGUGCAUCUACCCGAUGCGACGGCUCGGACUGAACAUCAUGCCGGUUCUUUCUUGGUGCACUUCAUUGUGUGCCUCGAGAUGGCCGGUGCUUUUACUUUGAAAAAAUUAGAGUGCUCAACGCAGGCGAGUCGCCUGAAUAAACUUGCAUGGAAUAAUAGAACAAGACCUCGUUUCUGUUCUGUUGGUUUUUGGAAUACGAGGUAAUGAUUAAGAGGGACGGACGGGGGCAUUCGUAUUGCGGCGCUAGAGGUGAAAUUCUUGGACCGUCGCAAGACGAACUACUGCGAAAGCAUUUGCCAAGAAUGUUUUCAUUGAUCAAGAACGAAAGUCAGAGGUUCGAAGGCGAUCAGAUACCGCCCUAGUUCUGACCAUAAACGAUGCCAACCAGCGAUCCGCCUGAGUUACUCAAAUGACUCGGCGGGCAGCUUCCGGGAAACCAAAGUAUUUGGGUUCCGGGGGAAGUAUGGUUGCAAAGCUGAAACUUAAAGGAAUUGACGGAAGGGCACCACCAGGAGUGGAGCCUGCGGCUUAAUUUGACUCAACACGGGAAAACUUACCCGGCCCGGACACUGGGAGGAUUGACAGAUUGAGAGCUCUUUCUUGAUUCGGUGGAUGGUGGUGCAUGGCCGUUCUUAGUUGGUGGAGCGAUUUGUCUGGUUAAUUCCGAUAACGAACGAGACUCUAGCCUAUUAAAUAGGUGCGGGGUUCCCAGCACCUUACAACCUUCUUAGAGGGACAAGCGGCUCCUAGCCGCACGAAACAGAGCAAUAACAGGUCUGUGAUGCCCUUAGAUGUCCGGGGCCGCACGCGCGCUACACUGAAGGAAGCAGCGUGUCUUUAUCCCUGUCUGAAAAGACUGGGUAACCCGUGGAACUUCUUUCGUGAUUGGGAUAGGGGCUUGCAAUUGUUCCCCUUGAACGAGGAAUUCCCAGUAAGCGCGAGUCAUAAGCUCGCGUUGAUUACGUCCCUGCCCUUUGUACACACCGCCCGUCGCUACUACCGAUUGAAUGAUUUAGUGAGGUCUUCGGACCGAUGUCCGGCGCGGCCUUUCGGUUGCGCCGGUCUGUUGGAAAGAUGACCAAACUUGAUCAUUUAGAGGAAGUAAAAGUCGUAACAAGGUUUCCGUAGGUGAACCUGCGGAAG
rnacentral:rRNA from 1 species